AGCAGCCGCGGUAAUUCCAGCUCCAAUAGCGUAUAUUAAAGUUGUUGCAGUUAAAAAGCUCGUAGUUGAACUUCGGGGUUUACCCAUUGGUCAGGCUUAAUUGUCUGCACUGGUGAGAUGAAUCUCUACCUUCUGAGGAACUUUCAUGCCAUUUAUUUGGUGUGAUGGGAAAAUCAGGACUGUUACUUUGAAAAAUUGAGUGUUUAAAGCAGGCUAACGUCUGAAUACAUUAGCAUGGAAUAAUGAAAUAGGACGGACUGAUUCUAUUUCGUUGGUUUCUAGGAUCACCGUAAUGAUUAAUAGGGAUAGUUGGGGGCAUUAGUAUUCAAUUGUCAGAGGUGA
rnacentral:rRNA from 1 species